ACGUCCCUGCCCUUUGUACACACCGCCCGUCGCUACUACCGAUUGAAUGGCUUAGCGAGACUCUCGGAUCGGGAUUUCGGAACCGGCAACGGUCCCUUUUUUCUGAGAAGUUUGUCAAACUUGGUCAUUUAGAGGAAGUAAAAGUCGUAACAAGGUUUCCGUAGGUGAACCUGCGGAAGGAUCAUUAGAAUUCCCGUGGAAGAUUCUUUCUUCCCGGCAUCUUCUUAUUAUUCAAAAAUUUUCUACCUUUUUAAUCUUUUAAAAAAACAAAAUUUAAAUUAUUAAGACAACUUUCAACAACGGAUCUCUUGGCUCUUGCAUCGAUGAAGAACGCAGCGAAAUGCGAUAAGUAAUGUGAAUUGCGGAAUUCCGUGAAUCAUCAAAUCUUUGAACGCAAAUUGCACUCUUUGGUAUUCCGAAGAGUAUGCUUGCUUGAGGGUUGGAUCACAAAAAUCGUGAAUGAAAUUUUUUGCGGAUCUGGGUUUUCCGAAAAUUAAUUUGGUAACCUAAAAUUUAUCUUAACAAUAUUGAGGUAUGAUAUUGGAAAUGUUCUAUCUUGCAUAUUUUUUGUAAGUUCGUUGACAAUGAUUACCGAUUGUUACGUCGUGUCAUUCAUCUUUUAUUUAGGUGAUAUGAUUCAAUCUUUUAAAUUUCAACCUCAAGUCAAGUGAGAAUACCCGCUGAACUUAAGCAUAUCAAUAAGCGGAGGAAAAGAAACUAACAAGGAUUCCCUCAGUAACGGCGAGUGAACCGGGAAAAGCUCAAAUUUAAAAUCGCUUGGGUUUACCUGAGUGAGUUGUAAUUUGAAGAAGGUGUUUCGACUUUUCGGGUUUGAUCCAAAUCCUUUGGGAUGAGGUAUCAUAGAGGGUGAGAAUCCCGUUCUUGAUUAAACCUCGGAUUGCACUAAAUUCACUUUCUAAGAGUCGAGUUGUUUGGGAUUGCAGCUCCAAAUGGGUGGUAAAUUUCACCUAAGGCUAAAUAUAUGCAAGAGACCGAUAGCGAACAAGUACCGUGAGGGAAAGAUGAAAAGUACUUUGAAAAGAGAGUUAAACAGUACGUGAAAUUGUUGAAAGGGAAACGAUUGAAGUCAGUCAUGCUAGUGAGGAAUCAACUUGGUGGUUUACUUCCUUGUGCAUUUUCUCGCUUGGCAGGUUAGCAUCAAUUUUGGUUGUCAUCAAAGAAUUGGGGGAAUGUGGCUUUUCUUCGGUAAAGUGUUAUAGACCCUGAUUGAUGUGGCGACUGGGAUUGAGGUUUGCAGCGGAUGCCUCUUGUGGCUAGUCACCUGUCUUCUGACCGUCACCUCAUUUUUGACAGCUUGCUGAUGAUUGCGGGAUUUGGCGACCUAGGAGUUAGAGUGAAUAUAAAUUCGCUAAGGAUGCUGACGUAAUGGCUUUAAACGACCCGUCUUGAAACACGG
rnacentral:rRNA from 1 species